ACGGGAGGCAGCAGUGGGGAAUCUUGCGCAAUGGGCGGAAGCCUGACGCAGCGACACCGCGUGGGGGACGAAGGCCUUUCAGGUCGUAAACCCCUUUCGGCAGGGACGAAGCGAUCUCGUGACGGUACCUGCAGAAGAAGCCUCGGCUAACUACGUGCCAGCAGCCGCGGUAACACGUAGGAGGCGAGCGUUGUCCGGAAUCAUUGGGCGUAAAGAGCGCGCAGGCGGCCCGGCAAGUCGGGUGUGAAAUCUCGGGGCUCAACCCCGGAACUGCAUCCGAUACUGCCGGGCUAGAGGUAGGUAGGGGAGAUCGGAAUUCCUGGUGUAGCGGUGAAAUGCGCAGAUAUCAGGAGGAACACCGGUGGCGAAGGCGGAUCUCUGGGCCUUACCUGACGCUCAGGCGCGAAAGCUAGGGGAGCGAACAGGAUUAGAUACCCUGGUA
rnacentral:rRNA from 1 species